UCUUGGUCAUUUAGAGGAAGUAAAAGUCGUAACAAGGUUUCCGUAGGUGAAACCUGCGGAAGGAUCAUUAAUGAAUUUUUAGGGUGCUCUCUUCAUCAGAGAGGCCCGAACUCUUCAUUCUUCUACACUGUGCACUAUAACAUUCCGUAAUUCGUCUAUUUUCGAUGUCAAAGUCGAGAUUAGACUUAUUUGGAAUAUCAUUUUUUAAACUCUAUACAAGUCUAAGAAUGAAUACAAAACCAAAAUAUAAAAAAACUUUCAACAACGGAUCUCUUGGCUCUCGCAUCGAUGAAGAACGCAGCGAAAUGUGAUAAGUAAUGUGAAUUGCAGAAUUCAGUGAAUCAUCGAAUCUUUGAACGCACCUUGCGCUCGCUGGUAUUCCGGCGAGCAUGCCUGUUUGAGUGUCAUGAACUCUUCAACCCUUCAAUUCCUUGUUGAAUUGUUAAGGUGUUUGGAUCUUGAGCGUUUGCUGGUCUAUUCUUCGGAAAAGACGAAGCUCGUUCGUAAUACAUUAGCACACUAAUACCGAAUGGUUCGGAUUGACUCGGCGUAAUAGACUUUAUUCGCUGAGGACACCUUUUCAUUAAGGUGGCCGAACCUAUUCAAUUUUUUGUUAGUAGCUUCUAACUCAUUGAAUUUGAAGUCAAUACUCUAAGAUUAGACCUCAGAUCAGGCAGGACUACCCGCUGAACUUAAGCAUAUCAAUAAGCGGAGGAA
rnacentral:rRNA from 1 species